rnacentral:piRNA from 1 species
UCCAGAAACUUCCUUAAGCCACCUUGCUAC